rnacentral:rRNA from 1 species
GACGAACCGUGCAAACGUUAUUCGGAAUCACUGGGCGUAAAGGGUGCGUAGGCGGGUCUUUAAGUCAGGGGUGAAAUCCCGGAGCUCAACUCCAGAACUGCCUUUGAUACUGAAGAUCUUGAGUUCGGGAGAGGUGAGUGGAACUGCGAGUGUAGAGGUGAAAUUCGUAGAUAUUCGCAAGAACACCAGUGGCGAAGGCGGCUCACUGGCCCGAUACUGACGCUGAGGCACGAAAGCGUGGGGAGCAAACAGG